rnacentral:rRNA from 1 species
AACGCUGGCGGCGUGCCUAAUACAUGCAAGUCGAACGAACUCUGGUAUUGAUUGGUGCUUGCAUCAUGAUUUACAUUUGAGUGAGUGGCGAACUGGUGAGUAACACGUGGGAAACCUGCCCAGAAGCGGGGGAUAACACCUGGAAACAGAUGCUAAUACCGCAUAACAACUUGGACCGCAUGGUCCGAGUUUGAAAGAUGGCUUCGGCUAUCACUUUUGGAUGGUCCCGCGGCGUAUUAGCUAGAUGGUGGGGUAACGGCUCACCAUGGCAAUGAUACGUAGCCGACCUGAGAGGGUAAUCGGCCACAUUGGGACUGAGACACGGCCCAAACUCCUACGGGAGGCAGCAGUAGGGAAUCUUCCACAAUGGACGAAAGUCUGAUGGAGCAACGCCGCGUGAGUGAAGAAGGGUUUCGGCUCGUAAAACUCUGUUGUUAAAGAAGAACAUAUCUGAGAGUAACUGUUCAGGUAUUGACGGUAUUUAACCAGAAAGCCACGGCUAACUACGUGCCAGCAGCCGCGGUAAUACGUAGGUGGCAAGCGUUGUCCGGAUUUAUUGGGCGUAAAGCGAGCGCAGGCGGUUUUUUAAGUCUGAUGUGAAAGCCUUCGGCUCAACCGAAGAAGUGCAUCGGAAACUGGGAAACUUGAGUGCAGAAGAGGACAGUGGAACUCCAUGUGUAGCGGUGAAAUGCGUAGAUAUAUGGAAGAACACCAGUGGCGAAGGCGGCUGUCUGGUCUGUAACUGACGCUGAGGCUCGAAAGUAUGGGUAGCAAACAGGAUUAGAUACCCUGGUAGUCCAUACCGUAAACGAUGAAUGCUAAGUGUUGGAGGGUUUCCGCCCUUCAGUGCUGCAGCUAACGCAUUAAGCAUUCCGCCUGGGGAGUACGGCCGCAAGGCUGAAACUCAAAGGAAUUGACGGGGGCCCGCACAAGCGGUGGAGCAUGUGGUUUAAUUCGAAGCUACGCGAAGAACCUUACCAGGUCUUGACAUACUAUGCAAAUCUAAGAGAUUAGACGUUCCCUUCGGGGACAUGGAUACAGGUGGUGCAUGGUUGUCGUCAGCUCGUGUCGUGAGAUGUUGGGUUAAGUCCCGCAACGAGCGCAACCCUUAUUAUCAGUUGCCAGCAUUAAGUUGGGCACUCUGGUGAGACUGCCGGUGACAAACCGGAGGAAGGUGGGGAUG